rnacentral:tRNA from 1 species
GCUCCUUUAGCUCAGCUGGUUAGAGCAGUCGGCUCAUAACCGAACGGUCCCGGGUUCGAAUCCCCGAGGGAGCACCA